AGCAGCGUGGCCUAAUGGCUAGAGUACAGGCCUGGGAGUCUGAGGACCUGGGUUCGAAUCCCAGUCUCUGCCA
rnacentral:tRNA from 1 species